GGCAUUUGUGGAGAGCCGACACUAUAUAAGAACCAGCGACUUAGCUUGAUCUGUGCACAAGAGAAAUCCGCCGAGGAAGCCACAAACACACAUACAUAGAAAUAUAUAGUUAUAUAUAUAUAUAUAUAUAUAGGUAUAUAUACAUAUAUAAACAUAUAUAAAUACAUCGCUUAAAGUAAUAACGUGUGAAGAUAACAGGUGCGUGAUGAAAACUAUCAUUGCUUUCUGUUUCUGCUUUUGCGUACUCAUUUCAUACGCUUUGUCGUAUAACGAAGAGAUCGGAAAGA
rnacentral:lncRNA from 1 species